rnacentral:rRNA from 1 species
AGUUUGAUUCUUGCUUAAAUUUUCGUUUCGGGUUUGUAAAAUAUAUUCAAAUUUUGGUGUGACUAAAUUUUACAGUUUAAAUAAUUGUAAUAAGUAAUAGGUGAAAUAAAAUCGAAGUAUAAAAUAUUAGGCAAUUCUAUAUUUAGGGACCUAAUAAUCCUAGAUUAACUCUGAGUAAAAUUUGUGCCAGCAGUCGCGGUUAGACUUAAAGGGUAGAGGAAUAAAAAUUAGUUUGCAGUUAAGUUUAUAAUGUUUUGUAUAAGGAGAUUCUGGUUUGUUAAAGGGUAGAAUCGAUAUAUUAUUUUUAGUAUCUUUUUUUAUAAAAUUAUUCUAAGGCUGUGAAGUUUAGAGGAUAAACUAGGAUUAGAUACCCUAUUAUAAGGGC